rnacentral:rRNA from 1 species
GACGAACGCUGGCGGCGUGCUUAACACAUGCAAGUCGAACGGAAAGGCCCUGCUUUUGUGGGGUGCUCGAGUGGCGAACGGGUGAGUAACACGUGAGUAACCUGCCCUUGACUUUGGGAUAACUUCAGGAAACUGGGGCUAAUACCGGAUAGGAGCUCCUGCUGCAUGGUGGGGUUGGAAAGUUUCGGCGGUUGGGGAUGGACUCGCGGCUUAUCAGCUUGUUGGUGGGGUAGUGGCUUACCAAGGCUUUGACGGGUAGCCGGCCUGAGAGGGUGACCGGCCACAUUGGGACUGAGAUACGGCCCAGACUCCUACGGGAGGCAGCAGUGGGGAAUAUUGCACAAUGGGCGGAAGCCUGAUGCGGCAACGCCGCGUGCGGGAUGACGGCCUUCGGGUUGUAAACCGCUUUCGCCUGUGACGAAGCGUGAGUGACGGUAAUGGGUAAAGAAGCACCGGCUAACUACGUG